rnacentral:rRNA from 1 species
UACGGAGGGAGCUAGCGUUGUUCGGAAUUACUGGCGUAAAGGGCGCGUAGGCGGACAUUUAAGUUUGAUGUGAAACCCCUGGGCUUAACCUAGGACGUGCAUUGAAGACUGAGUGACUGGAGUACUGUAGAGGGUAGUGGAAUUUCCGGUGUAGCGGUGAAAUGCGUAGAGAUCGGAAGGAACACCAGUGGCGAAGGCGGCUACCUGGACAGAUACUGACGCUGAGCGCGAGAGCGUGG